rnacentral:lncRNA from 1 species
GGGGCCUGCUGUGUGGCCGGGUGUUGGCUGCCUCCCAAAGUUCUGGGAUUACAGGCGUGAGCCACCGCGCCUGGCCUCUACUUUCUUAAUAAGACCUCCAGGCGCAUGACAAAGCAGAAACCUUCAGAAACAAAAUCUACCGAGUUCGAAGAACGGGCCUGGCCCAAGGCACUUUGGACGCUGUCCGUUCUGUCUUCACAGCGGCUUGCAGUAAACUUCUUGGAGGAGAAUUGGCAUUGCAAGGGUGUUACUGGAGACCUCGGCAAGAAAGUGAAUGCAAAGACAGAUGACCCAGGAACCCGUGAUGGAUAAGGCUCUUGACAGCCAGGACGUGGAAUUACAGGGGGUCUCUUUGAGAGACAAAAUAAAAAAAAUAGCCCAGUAAUCUUCCUUCCACCCUUUUCUCCCAGAUCUAAUUACAGAUGUCUUGACAUUCCUUCUGCAUAGAAUUUCCUUAAAAGAUUUGCCAAGAAGAAACAUUUGGAAACUGUGUUUUAGGUAUAAUCCGUCUGGGAGUCACUCUUGCUCGCUUUGUCGUUAGAUGACAAAACGCUUAAUUACAGCGAGCACAAUGUAUACCACAUUUGGAAAACUGGAUUCUUGACCUAAAUAAUGUACCCCAUACUGACAAUGGCCUUUUGGCAAAACUUGUGUCUCUGAUCUCACAUUAAUUACUACACAAAUAUACUUAUUGUGGGCACCGAGUUUAUGGGAUGGAGUCCUCUUGACACAUGUUCACCAUAAAAACACAUUUUUUUCCCUUCCCCUGACCCUAAGGAAAAGAAAAAAAAAAAGAUUAACAUUUUUCAAGAUGCUGUUUUAGUGACAUGAAAACUGUCUGUUGAGUGUUCACUCGGCUUUUGUUCUUUUUCUUUUCUCCUUUUAUUAAAAAGCCUUUCAAACCA